CGCUGGAAUGCAUCGAGAUUUAAAGCUCCGGCGCCUAAGGAUGGGUCUGCGGCCUAUCAGGUAGUAGUGGGUGUAGCGUACCUACUAGCCUACGACGGGUACGGGUUGUGAGAGCAAGAGCCCGGAGAUGGAUUCUGAGACACGAAUCCAGGCCCUACGGGGUGCAGCAGGCGCGAAAACUUUACAAUGCUGGCAACAGCAAUAAGGGAACCUCGAGUGCCAGGUUACAAAUCUGGCUGUCGAGAUGCCUAAAAGCAUUUCAUAGCAAGGGCCGGGCAAGACCGGUGCCAGCCGCCGCGGUAACACCGGCGGCUCGAGUGGUAACCGUUAUUAUUGGGUCUAAAGGGUCUGUAGCCGGCCGGAUAAGUCUCUUGAGAAAUCUGGCAGCUUAACUGUCAGGCUUUCAGGAGAUACUGUCUGGCUCGAGGCCGGGAGAGGUGAGAGGUACUUCAGGGGUAGGGGUGAAAUCUUGUAAUCCUUGAAGGACCACCAGUGGCGAAG
rnacentral:rRNA from 1 species